GACGAACGCUGGCGGCGUGCUUAACACAUGCAAGUCGAGCGGUAAGGCCCUUUCGGGGGUACACGAGCGGCGAACGGGUGAGUAACACGUGGGUGACCUGCCCUUAGCUCUGGGAUAAGCCUGGGAAACUGGGUCUAAUACCGGAUAUGACUCCAUGACGCAUGUUGUGGGGUGGAAAGCCUUGUGCGGCUAGGGAUGGGCCCGCGGCCUAUCAGCUUGUUGGUGGGGUGAUGGCCACCAAGGCGACGACGGGUAGCCGGCCUGAGAGGGCGACCGGCCACACUGGGACUGAGACACGGCCCAGACUCCUACGGGAGGCAGCAGUGGGGAAUCUUGCGCAAUGGGCGAAAGCCUGACGCAGCGACGCCGCGUGGGGAUGACGGCCUCGGUGUAAC
rnacentral:rRNA from 1 species